rnacentral:lncRNA from 1 species
GACGAAGGCCGAUCUGAUGUCGGAGACAGACGAAGACGAGGCCGGAAGUCUGGGCGGUCUGGACUGAUGUCGGAGACAGACGAAGACGAGGCCGGAAGCGGGGCGACGCCGGACUGAUGGGAUUCGGAAGCGGGGCGAUCUGUUGCCGGACACAAGACGAGCCGGUCUGGACUGAAGGUCUGGGCGAUCUGUUGCUGAAGACGCAGUCGAGCGAGCGAAGGCUCUUGCUGAAGACGGCGUCGAGCGAACAAACAAGAUGAAGAGGACGUCUAAACGACGUCG